rnacentral:sRNA from 1 species
GCAGGACAGGUGCAUAGGGAACUCCUCAGAGGUCUAUACCUCGAGGGCUCCCAUGGAUAGCCUUGACGGAUCCUGCCAGGACUGGUGCGACAGGAAGCAACACUGGUUGGAGAUCGGACCACCGGACUUGGUGGAGCGCAAGGGCUCCCUGACCCUCCGCUCCCAUCACAAGAAAUACUCGAAGCCGGUGUUGGUGUAUUCCUGAUUUGGACAUCAGAAACACAUGAAAAGUUGUCACAAAUGUGUUUAAACACAGAAUGGGCUGAAAUGAAGAGCAAGGCUUUAUUGAAUGAGGAAACAGUGAGCUCUGGGAUUAUCGAAAGGGUCACUGGAUUGCCUGCCACAGGUUUUGGAGCUGUCUUUUCUAGACAUCCACCGGAUCGGAGCAAAAUGUACUGCUGCUACUACUCAGGAAAUCACCACACCCUGAGGGCCUGGCAAGAAUUGGUGGUUACCACCCGGGUGUGCAUUGACAACGUACUCAGAAGAUUAUGUUCCACCAUAUGAUUAUCAGCCACAUGUUUAUCCCUGUCAAGAUGAUUAUUCCAUAGUCCACAGAAAAUGCCGUUCUCAGUUCACGGAUCUAAAUGGUUCUAAAAGAUUUGGCAUCAACACUUGGCAUGAUGAGAGUGGGAUUUAUGCUAAUUCAGAUGUAAAACGGAAACUCUAUCCCUUGACUAGUGGGCCUAUCAUGCCAAUUUAAAAAUAAUGUAUAGAAUCAGCAUCUCUGACUAAUGAAAAAUGGAUGUAGCAGUUGAUGAUUUUCUAUCUUAAUAAAUAUAAUGGAAGUGUUA